rnacentral:rRNA from 1 species
CACUCCUACGGGAGGCAGCAGUGGGGAAUUUUGGACAAUGGGCGAAAGCCUGAUCCAGCAAUGCCGCGUGCAGGAUGAAGGCCUUCGGGUUGUAAACUGCUUUUGUACGGAACGAAAAAGCUCCUUCUAAUACAGGGGGCCCAUGACGGUACCGUAAGAAUAAGCACCGGCUAACUACGUGCCAGCAGCCGCGGUAAUACGUAGGGUGCGAGCGUUAAUCGGAAUUACUGGGCGUAAAGCGUGCGCAGGCGGUUAUGUAAGACAGAUGUGAAAUCCCCGGGCUCAACCUGGGAACUGCAUUUGUGACUGCAUGGCUAGAGUACGGUAGAGGGGGAUGGAAUUCCGCGUGUAGCAGUGAAAUGCGUAGAUAUGCGGAGGAACACCGAUGGCGAAGGCAAUCCCCUGGACCUGUACUGACGCUCAUGCACGAAAGCGUGGGGAGCAAACAGGAUUAGAAACCCCAGUAGUCCCAUGA